UACGUAGGUGGCAAGCGUUGUCCGGAUUUACUGGGCGUAAAGAGCGCGCAGGCGGUCGUUCAAGUCGCGUGUGAAAGCCCCCGGCUCAACUGGGGAGGGUCACGCGAUACUGAUCGACUCGAAGGCAGGAGAGGGUAGUGGAAUUCCCGGUGUAGUGGUGAAAUGCGUAGAUAUCGGGAGGAACACCAGUGGCGAUGGCGACUACCUGGCCUGUUCUUGACGCUGAGGCGCGAAAGCUAGGGGAGCAAACGGG
rnacentral:rRNA from 1 species